UAUAAGGUACCACACAAGCGCCAUUUGUCAGAUCACUUUAACCGACCAAGAGAGCUCGCAAAAAUAUUCACCUCUCAAACCCUCGCCCUCCUCACAUGUUCAUUUCCUUCCCUUGGAAGAUUUCGUAACCGGUAACUCAAUCCACUGAAAUUCUGUGAAAUUGGGUUCUCCUAAUGGCGGAACACUUAGCGUCGAUAUUUGGAACUGAGAAGGACAGGGUGAACUGUCCAUUUUAUUUCAAGAUUGGAGCAUGUCGUCAUGGUGAUCGAUGUUCUAGACUUCACAAUCGCCCUACUAUCUCACCUACUCUUUUACUAUCCAAUAUGUAUCAGAGGCCUGAUAUGAUCACUCCUGGUGUUGAUCCACAAGGACAGUCAAUUGACCCUAGAAAGAUUCAAGAACAUUUUGAGGAUUUUUAUGAGGAUAUAUUUGAGGAGCUGAACAAAUUUGGGGAGCUUGAAAGUCUUAAUAUCUGUGAUAACCUUGCUGAUCACAUGGUGGGGAAUGUGUACGUGCAAUUCAAGGAGGAAGAUCAGGCUGCUGCUGCUUUGAAAGCGUUGCAGGGGCGGUUUUACUCUGGGCGGCCAAUCAUUGCUGACUUUUCCCCUGUCACAGAUUUUCGUGAGGCGACUUGCAGGCAGUUUGAAGAGAACAGCUGUAAUCGGGGUGGGUAUUGUAAUUUUAUGCAUGUGAAGCAGAUUGGGAGAGAAUUGAGGAGGAAAUUAUAUGGAAGGUAUCGUCGAUCAUAUGUUAGUCGAAGUCGGAGUAGAAGCAGGAGUUUGAGUCCUCCACGCCACCGACGGAGUGGGGAUAGGCAUAGUGUUGAAUACCGUGAUCGUGGUGACUAUCGUGGUAGUGGGAGACGCAGUGGAGAUAGGCCUGGAAGGUAUGAUAGUGAUGGAGGUGGCAGACGAAGGCAUGGGAGUCCAAGGCGAAAUAGGAGUCCUGUUCGAGGUAGUCCUGUUAGAGAAGGAAGUGAGGAAAGGAGAGCGAGGAUUGAACAAUGGAAUAGGGAAAGAGAUGAAAAAUGAUGAUUUCGUGGAGUUAGGUGGUUGCUGUUUCCCCUUUAAAAGUAAUCUACAAGUUCUUCAUCGCAUUCUUGAUAAUCACUUGGGAAGUGUAUGCAACAAAUUUGUUGUUGAAGUUUCUGAUAAAAGUUUCCUAUCUUUUUAGCUAAGAAGAUUGCAUGAUUUGCUGAGUUGAUAUGAACUUUGUCAAGUGGACGGCCAUCCAAUCAAAAGCUUGGAUGAACUGUGCAAUUUUGAGAAGAGAUUCACGCUUCACAGUUCAGAAUCUUCUCAAGUUCAGAGCUCUGUUACGUACUCUGUUGAAUUAAACUUCGAUGGAGCAUGAAGAAAAUCAGAAAUCUUCUUCACCACCACCAAUUUCCAUUUUUUCAAGACUGGAUCGCCUUGAUCGUGUGGUGCACUAUAUGGAAGAGAAGCAUAGUAUGUCACAAAGGGAGUUCUCGACAGCAAAGGAUUUUGACUAUAACCGAGUAAAGCCUCUCGCUACUGCACUCGAUGAGAUUCGUGUCAAAGGCACCUUAGUGGAAAGAAUAACCAUGCUAGAGAGUUCUGUUUUACAGCUAGUAAGCAUUGAAAUGGAGGAAGGUACUUAUUCAAGUUCAAGUUCUUCUACAUUUGCGGUACCUGAAAACGCCGGUCUUGAAAUUUUUCCUACUAAACAAGGCAGAGCAAAAUUUAGUAGUUUUCUUAAUGAAAAAGACGAUUACGCUACGCCUUCGGAGAGCAGCCUUGAAGAAGAACACAACAUGAUAAGUAAUAAGCCCCGGAGUAAAAGAAAAGGGAGAUCACCAGCACUGAUGAUGAGUAGUCUUCGUUAUCACGGGAAAUGGUUGGGAUGCUUUCACAUGCCAACUCGCUGAAUCCACAGUAGUGAGCAUAAUGAAUCUUCUUGCUGGUGUGAUAGAAGUUUCAAGCUUCUGAUAUCAAAAGAAAAAAUUGUAUACGUCCAGUAUUUGAUAUUUGAAAUAGCUUUUGAUGGGGUCAAAAAAGACCAACCAGGAUUAGUUCAAUUAGGCAGUGGCGGAAUUUUCCAGGAGCCGCAAAUGUAUGGAGUGGCAAUUGGUAUAUCCUUCCAAGGUCGAUGAGCAUUUUCCAUUCUACAUAGCUUUCAAGAUAAUUUUCAUUCCAAGUUUGUGUUUAAUGAAAUAAUAAAUUAACCGGUAACUUUGUGGA